UGUUGGUUAUUGUUAGGUGUUACAAUCACAAUCAUCGGAUUACUAAUCACCACCACCUGCAGCCACUUCCCUUCACCACAUAAAAGACAGUUGACUACAUUCAGUCACUGGCUGGUGUCAAGGUUGCUCACCUACCUAUACCGAUCUGCUUUUUGGACUUACCUGUCUGGAUUACCUCUCAGGUUACUGUCUUCCAUUUCUAUGACUGGACUAGUGUGCUCAAUCUAAUCUGCCCAGCUAAGGAAGUUGUGACAGAAGACCAGCCCAUCAACACGAAACAAUAUGGAAACCCGGGAUCCAGUCGCCUCAAAUGAUGACUCAACCAGAAGUACCCUCCUCCUCCCAUGAUCGACACCAACAAAACCAUCUUCAGAGACAAAGAGAUCUUAGACUCCCAGUGGCGGGGCUGCCAUCUCCAGUACCUGUUAGAUUGGGAGGGGUACAGCCCGAGAUAAAAUCAUGGGUGCAUGGAGACGACUUCGUGGAUCCUUCACUUCUCAACGACUUUUAUAUGCUCCACCUGGACCGGCCUGCUCCCAGAGGCAACAGUUGUCCUCGCCAUCAGUCACGGACAUCAGGAGACGCCCGUGGGACAGGGAGUACUGUCAUGGAUCCACCAACCACGCCACACACAUACUGUACACCCGAUAACAAUCACCUGAUUACUAAUCGCCACCAACUGCAAUCACUUCUCUUCACCACAUAAAAUACUUACCUGUCUGGAUUACCCCUCGGAUUACCUUCUUCCAUUUGGGUGUUUCUAUGACUGAACUAGUGUGCUCCAUCCAGUCUGCCCAGCUAAGGAAAGUAAAAGACUGUUAUGCCAGUUUUUGCAUCACUCAUGACUGCCUAUGUUAAUGCUUAUCACUGGA